rnacentral:rRNA from 1 species
UACGUAGGGACCAAGCGUUGUUCGGAUUUACUGGGCGUAAAGGGCGCGUAGGCGGCGUGUUAAGUCACUUGUGAAAUCUCUAAGCUUAACUUAGAGCGGUCAAGUGAUACUGAUGUGCUAGAGUGCAGAAGGGGCAACCGGAAUUCUUGGUGUAGCGGUGAAAUGCGUAGAUAUCAAGAGGAACACCUGAGGUGAAGACGGGUUGCUGGGCUGACACUGACGCUGAGGCGCGAAAGCUAGGGUAGCAAACGGG